rnacentral:rRNA from 1 species
UUUAUCGGAGAGUUUGAUCCUGGCUCAGGACGAACGCUGGCGGCGUGCCUAAUACAUGCAAGUCGAGCGGACAGAUGGGAGCUUGCUCCCUGAUGUUAGCGGCGGACGGGUGAGUAACACGUGGGUAACCUGCCUGUAAGACUGGGAUAACUCCGGGAAACCGGGGCUAAUACCGGAUGGUUGUUUGAACCGCAUGGUUCAGACAUAAAAGGUGGCUUCGGCUACCACUUACAGAUGGACCCGCGGCGCAUUAGCUAGUUGGUGAGGUAACGGCUCACCAAGGCGACGAUGCGUAGCCGACCUGAGAGGGUGAUCGGCCACACUGGGACUGAGACACGGCCCAGACUCCUACGGGAGGCAGCAGUAGGGAAUCUUCCGCAAUGGACGAAAGUCUGACGGAGCAACGCCGCGUGAGUGAUGAAGGUUUUCGGAUCGUAAAGCUCUGUUGUUAGGGAAGAACAAGUGCCGUUCAAAUAGGGCGGCACCUUGACGGUACCUAACCAGAAAGCCACGGCUAACUACGUGCCAGCAGCCGCGGUAAUACGUAGGUGGCAAGCGUUGUC